UGGACUUGACAUCCCUUAGACCGCUCCUUAAUCGGAGCCUUCCCUUCGGGGACUGAGGUGACAGGUGGUGCAUGGUUGUCGUCAGCUCGUGUCGUGAGAUGUUGGGUUAAGUCCCGCAACGAGCGCAACCCUUGUCUUUAGUUGCCAGCACUUCGGGUGGGCACUCUAUAGAGACCGCCGGGGAUAACUCGGAGGAAGGUGGGGAUGACGUCAAAUCAUCAUGCCCCUUAUGUUCAGGGCUACACACGUGCUACAAUGGCCGAUACAACGGGCAGCUAAGGAGUAAUCUGGAGCAAAUCCUACAAAAUCGGUCCCAGUUCGGAUUGUGGGCUGAAACUCGCCCACAUGAAGUUGGAGUUGCUAGUAAUCGCGAAUCAGCAUGUCGCGGUGAAUGCGUUCCCGGGUC
rnacentral:rRNA from 1 species